AAACCAUGCAUUAGGCAUUUUCUAAUUAACUUCUUGAAUCGCUCUCACGCCUCAUAUAAUGUUUCAUCAUCAGAUUGCCAAAAUGACAUAAUAUUGUUCCUCAAUUU
rfam:Gossypium raimondii Chr04_contig_696, whole genome shotgun sequence.